GCCGUCAUAGCUCAGUGGUAGAGCACUUCCAUGGUAAGGAAGGGGUCCCGAGUUCAACUCUCGGUGACGGCUCCA
rnacentral:tRNA from 1 species